ACAGCAUUUCUACAUCUGAUAUUUGUUCCAUGUCACAAGAUAGAGUUGAUAUAUCCAAAACUUUUUGCAUGUAGUAUCCUACUAAUAUGCCUCUUUGCUUUCCACUUUGUAUCCUGCACUAAGGAAAUAUGAUAAUACUUUUCCAUACAAAUUUUAAAAUGAACACUUCUAAGAUGAGGGGCAGCAAUUUUUUUUAAAAAAAAUUAUGUAGUAGUUCUGUUAAUUUGGAACUCAACAAUAUGUUUUUCUCUUUUCCAGAUUUUGUGAAGGUGGAGAAUUAUUAGAAAGAAUUUUAUCCAGAGGUGGAAGGUACUCAGAGGAGGAUGCAAAAGCUAUAGUUAUUCAAAUACCGAGUGUAAUCGCCUUUUGUCAUCUUCAAGGUGUUGUGCAUCGUGAUUUAAAGCCAGAGAGCUGAAAAUGCUCAGAUGAAGUUGAUUGAUUUUGGCCUUUCCGAUUUUGUUAAACCAGGCGCUAUCCAAAGCCCUAACAGAGAAUCAGCUGUUUUGUCUAAGAUCACAGUUUAAGCUGCUAGCACCAAAUGGAGAAGGUCACAUAUCGUUCGACAACUUUCGAAUGGCCCUAUUGCAAAAUGUAACCGAGUCAAUGAAGGAGAGUAAGGUUAUUGAUAUCUUAAAUGUGGCGAGGCAUCCAUU